AUGCGAUACUUGGUGUGAAUUGCAGAAUCCCGUGAACCAUCGAGUCUUUGAACGCAAGUUGCGCCCGAAGCCAUUAGGUGGAGGGCACGCCUGCCUGGGUGUCACACAUCGUUACCCCCACGCAAACAAAUGUCUCACACGACAGACGUUCUGCGUAGUAGGGUGCACGCUGACCUCCCGCGAGCACCGUCUCGCGGUUGGUUGAAAAUCGAGUUCGUGGCCGAGUACGCCGUGAUAAAAUGGUGGAUGAGCAACGCUCGAGACCAAUCACGCGCCGCGACUCGGUCGGCUCCGGACUCCUCCACGACCCUAUAGUGCCUCCUCUUCGGGGAGACGCUCUCAACGAGACCUCAGGUCAGGCGGGGCUACCCGCUGAGUUUAAGCAUAUCAAUAAGCGGAGGAAAAGAAACUAACAAGGAUUCCCCUAGUAACGGCGAGCGAACCGGGAAGAGCCCACCAUGAGAAUCGGUCGCCCUCGGCGUCCGAAUUGUAGUCUGGAGAAGCGUC
rnacentral:rRNA from 1 species